rnacentral:rRNA from 1 species
UGGGGAAUCUUGGACAAUGGGCGCAAGCCUGAUCCAGCCAUGCCGCGUGAGUGAAGAAGGCCUUAGGGUUGUAAAGCUCUUUUACCAGGGACGAUAAUGACGGUACCUGGAGAAUAAGCCCCGGCAAACUUCGUGCCAGCAGCCGCGGUAAUACGAAGGGGGCUAGCGUUGUUCGGAAUUACUGGGCGUAAAGCGCACGUAGGCGGGUCGUUAAGUCAGGGGUGAAAUCCCGGAGCUCAACUCCGGAACUGCCUUUGAUACUGGCGAUCUAGAGGUCGAGAGAGGUGAGUGGAAUUCCGAGUGUAGAGGUGAAAUUCGUAGAUAUUCGGAAGAACACCAGUGGCGAAGGCGGCUCACUGGCUCGAUACUGACGCUGAGGUGCGAAAGCGUGGGGAGCAAACAGGAUUAGAUACCCAAGUAGUCCCUGAGCGGGCUGGCAAGGCGCAU